GCACGAGAAACAAAACAUGGAAAAAAGUAUAGAUAGGAUAAACAAUAUGUCUCAAUUUUCAGGUUUUUUAAUGCACAGUUAAGAAUUCAAUUCGCACACAAAUUUUUAACAUUAUAAAUAGCCUCAAGUAAAAUAAGUAGAAGCGUUGACUCCACUAUUUUCCCACUCAAUACACAACUCAAAUAUUUGAAGUUCAUCAACAUCAGCCACUCCUCUGUUUUGACAUACCAACAUUCGUCACAGUAAAUGGUUCACCUUGAAUAGCCAGAAGGUGGAUAUC
rnacentral:misc_RNA from 1 species